ensembl:lncRNA
UGUGAGUGUGGUGGUUGGAGAAGGGUGGGAAAGGCUGUAAGAGGCUGUCACUCCCCUCAGUGGAAAAUGUCCUGCCAGAGGAGGAGAUCUAAGCCUGCCUCUAGUCUGGAACUCAGCUGGCUGCCUGGCUUUCUAGCAGAACUUCUCCUCCAGGAAGCCCACCGGCAUCUCGCAGAUGAAACUCAGUGAAUCUUCAUUGACACGAGCAUCAUCAUCCUCAUCCCCAUCUUCCAGAUGAGAAGACUGAGGCACAGCGCAGGAGACACCCCCUGGAAGGCCCUCCCGCGGGCCUGUUCCGGAGCCACCCUUCAGGAGGACCUUCCAGACAGAAACCAAGAUGCCCGCUUCACCCCCGUUAGGACGGCUGCUGUCAGAAAACCAGAAAAUAACAAGUAUUGGGGAGGAUGUGGAGAAACUGGGACCUCUGUGCUCUGUUGCUGGGAAUGUAAUGGUGCAGCCACUGGAAAACAGUAUGACAUUUCCCCUAAAAAUUAAAAAUGGAAUUACCGUAUAAUCCAGCAAUUCCGCUGUGGGUAUACACCCCAAAGAAGUGAAAGCAGGGGCUCAGCCAGUUAUUUAUACACCUUUGUUCACAGCAGCGCUGUUCACAACGGCCAAAAGGUAGAAGCAACCCAGGUGCCCAUCGACUGAUGAGUGGAUAAAUACAACGUGGUAUAAGCAUACGACAGAAUAUCAUUCAGCCUUAAAAAGGAAGGAAAUUCUGACACAAGCUACAAUGUGAAUGAACCUUGAGGACAUUAUGCUGAGUGAAACAAGCCAGUCUCAAAAGGAUCAAUACUGUAUGAUUCCACUUAUGUGAGGCCCCUCGAGCAGCCAAAUGCACAGAGACAGAAAGUUGAAGGGUGGCUGCCAGCGGCUGGGGAGAGAGGGGAGUGGGAGUUAUUAUUUCAUGGGCACGGAGUUCCAGUUUUGCCAGCUGAAAAGAGUUCUGGAGACGGAUGGUGGGGAUGGUUGCACAGCAAAAUGAAUGUAUUUAAUAGCACCGAACUGUGCACUUAACAAUGGUUAAGAUAUUAGGUGUAUUUUGCCACGAUUAAAAAUUGAAAACAAAAAAAGGAAAAGAUGCCCCCGCCUCUUCUCUGGGGCCCAGAAAGGAGGUCUCAUUUAAUGACAGGAAGGACCCCCAGCAGUCCUGGGGCCCCCUCCAAUUCCCUCUGGACAUUAACAGUCUGAGGCAGGCCUCUGUGACCCUAAGAGAAGCCAUCUGAGACUUUAGUGUUGCCCUUUGGCCCCAGAACAGCAUCUCAAUGAAAGGACGUUGAGAGAAAUAGAGUUGGAGUUCUCAUAUUGUCUUUGGGUGACCUUGGACAAUUCACUGUAUCUCCUUGGGCCUCAGUUUCCUCAUCUUACCAAGUGAGGGGGUUGGACUUCAGAAGUUGCCCAGGAAUCCUGUCUGGCUCCCAGAAGUGUCUUGUCUGUCUGUAAUAAGAUUUAAAAUUGGGACGGUCAGCCACCCAGGGCUCUGUUCCUCCGUGGUCACCACCGUUGAAGGUGGCCCCCCUGGAUGGAGCCAGUGCUGCCCAGUUCAGGCAGUGCCCCCCAUGGGCCUGACCCUCCCUGCCAGGGCCCCGGAGGUGCUUGAGUUUGCAAAGCCUGGACAAGAGGACACCAAGGAGCCUCUGACUUCAGUGAUGGCUUCGUUAGGCUUUCCGAG